GCAAAUAUCAGUGAAGGAGGGAGAUUCUGUCAAACUGCAAACUGGUCAUACUGAGAUAAAUCAGAAUGAGAUGAUAGAGUGGUGUUAUGAAGUUGAACAAAAUGUCAUUGCUGAUAUAAAAGAAGGGACCAGGAAGACACAUGAUGGUGCUGAUGGAAGAUUCAGAAGUAAACUGAGCCUGAACGCCAAUGAUGAUCUUACCAUCAGUAACACCCGGACCAUACAUUCUGGACUCUAUAUUCUGAAGAUCAGGACCAAAACAACCACUAAACCAAUAUACAAGAGAUUCAUUGUCACCAUCAGUGGUCAGUAUGUCAAGUCUUCCAUUGCAAUAAUGUUUGCUAUUUGAAAUGAAGUUGCUUUGUGAUCUUAAUGUCAUUGUGUUGUGAGAUUGAUUAAGCUCAUACAGUUCUCCAGACUGUAUGAAAUCAUCUGAUCAAAAAAGUUUGUGUUUUGUUUUGUAUGUAUCGUCUUUGUGUCGCUGUGACAUUCAGUGAAUUCCAAGUCAGUAAAGGAGCGAGAUACGGUUGUUCUCCAAAUUAAAGAAGAAAUACUGAGAGAUGAUCUGAUUUUGUGGACUGUCGGAGCUGAAAACUGUCUUGCUGUUCGAGCCACAUCAGGAAACACUAGUAUUGGUGAGAGAUUCAGAGACAGAGUGGAGCUGGAUCAUCAGACUGGAUCUCUGACCAUCAGAAACAUCACAAAAGAAGACUCAGGACAUUUUAAACUGCAGAUCAUCAACAGCGAGAAGACCAGAUUCAGGAGAAUCAAUGUGAAAGUUACUGCUUCUACAGGAGUUGGAUCAACAACUGUAUUGACACCGCUGCUAGAUGGAGAUGUUCCUGAUGGAGAGAAUGAGCAGCAGACAAGUUCAGUUUAAUAAGAUAAGACACCCCACCAGUGUCAAUCACAAUGAUAUUAUUAACACCUGACCUCAGCAACAAACCUUUCUGAAAGUAUGAAAUGGAAUGCUGGAAAAACAAAACAUCCUGCAACAUUCUGGGAAGGUUAGUGUUUGGCUUCCCGAACAUUUACUUUGUUCCCCAAAAAUUAACCAAAUGGCAACCAAAACUGGAACUGUAUAGUUACUUUAGAUCAGAGAUGCCCAAACUAGGGCAUGUGACCUGUUGAUAUGGCCCACCAAGACAUUUGAGAAAAGAGGGAAAAUGGCCAAUUAUCUUUGACAGAGAUCGUCAUUUCGGAAUUUAAUGUAACAUUUUGUUUGUGUGCCUUGUAAUUUUGUUUUGUUUUGUAAAUGAAUCAGAUUUUUAAAAAUGUAAAUACAGUACUGUCACUUGACUAAUAGAAUGCAUAAGACAUCAGCAAACAAAUCAAGGCAAAGGCAGGUGUAGCUUAGUGUAUUCAGCAUUAAACUCUAUUGUGGUAUUAAA